ensembl:lncRNA
CGGGAUGGUGUUUUAUCUAUGUGUCUUUUACAGGAAUGUGUUUGCUAUUAGGGAUCCAACUGUGGACGUGCAGAGAAAAGGCAGAAUGAUCUCCAGCAGGUACCACGCGCCAUCUACUGGAGCCCGAAGCGGCUCCAUCCUUCAACAAGCUGCUGCAGCACAAAGCUGCGUUUCACAUAUACGAUGGCCACUUUCCUCUCCUCGGCCCCCCCUCCAUCCCCUCACAGCUGAGCCGGCCCCCCCGAGGGCCACGGGGGGGCCGAUCCACCGACAGCUCGCCGAGCCCGCCGCUAACCAGCGAGCCCAACGCCGAGCCGGGCCCGAGUUGCGUGCGGCUCGGUGGGCUGAGGGACUAAACGAUGUGUUGGUACGUAGAAAGGAUCACACAGAAGAAUUGAG